rnacentral:rRNA from 1 species
GACGAGCGCUGGCGGCGUGCUUAACACGUGCGAGUCGAGCGAGGAGGCCGAGCUUGCUAGGUGGAUGAGUGGCGAACGGGGGAGUAAUACGUGAGUAACCUACCUUGAACUCUGGGAUAAGCCGGGGAAACUGGGGCUAAUACCGGAUACGACCAAUCUCCGCAUGGGGUGUUGGUGGAAAGCGUUAUGUAGUGGUUAUAGAUGGACUCGCGGCCUAUCAGCUUGUUGGUGAGGUAACGGCUCACCAAGGCGACGACGGGUAGCCGGCCUGAGAGGGUGACCGGCCACACUGGGACUGAGACACGGCCCAGACUCCUACGGGAGGCAGCAGUGGGGAAUAUUGUACAAUGGGCGCAAGCCUGAUGCAGCGACGCCGCGUGAGGGAUGACGGCCUUCGGGUUGUAAACCUCUGUUAGCAGGGAAGAAGAGAGAUUGACGGUACCUGCAGAGAAAGCGCCGGCUAACUACGUGCCAGCAGCCGCGGUAAUACGUAGGGCGCGAGCGUUGUCCGGAAUUAUUGGGCGUAAAGAGCUUGUAGGCGGUUUGUCGCGUCUGCUGUGAAGGCCGGAGCUUAACUCCGUGUAUUACAGUGGGUACGGGCAGACUAGAGUGCAGUAGGGGAGACUGGAAUUCCUGGUGUAGCGGUGGAAUGCGCAGAUAUCAGGAGGAACACCGAUGGCGAAGGCAGGUCUCUGGGCUGUAACUGACGCUGAGAAGCGAAAGCAUGGGGAGCGAACAGGAUUAGAUACCCUGGUAGUCCAUGCCGUAAACGUUGGGCACUAGGUGUGGGGAACAUUCCACGUUUUCCGCGCCGUAGCUAACGCAUUAAGUGCCCCGCCUGGGGAGUACGGCCGCAAGGCUAAAACUCAAAGAAAUUGACGGGGGCCCGCACAAGCGGCGGAGCAUGCGGAUUAAUUCGAUGCAACGCGAAGAACCUUACCAAGGCUUGACAUAUACUGGACCGCAUCAGAGAUGGUGUUUCCCUUCGGGGCUGGUAUACAGGUGGUGCAUGGUUGUCGUCAGCUCGUGUCGUGAGAUGUUGGGUUAAGUCCCGCAACGAGCGCAACCCUCGUUCUAUGUUGCCAGCACGUUAUGGUGGGGACUCAUAGGAGACUGCCGGGGUCAACUCGGAGGAAGGUGGGGAUGACGUCAAAUCAUCAUGCCCCUUAUGUCUUGGGCUUCACGCAUGCUACAAUGGCCGGUACAGAGGGUUGCGAUACUGUGAGGUGGAGCUAAUCCCUAAAAGCCGGUCUCAGUUCGGAUUGGGGUCUGCAACUCGACCCCAUGAAGUCGGAGUCGCUAGUAAUCGCAGAUCAGCAACGCUGCGGUGAAUACGUUCCCGGGCCU